ACAGAAGUCCUCACCAUGGAAUGGACAUUGGUCAUCUUCUUCUUGGCGGCUGCAUCUAUAUGUGUCCAGUCCCAGGUCCUGCUACAGCAGUCUGGGGCUGAGCUUAAGGGUCCGGGGUCUUCAGUGAAGAUGUCCUGCAAGGCUUCUGGCUACACUUUCACUGACUAUAAUAUUAACUGGAUGAAGCAGAGACCUGGACAGGGCCUAGUGUGGAUUGGAUAUAUUAAUCCUAGUAAUGGUGGUACUGGCUAUGCACAGAAGUUCCAGGGCAAGGCCACACUGACUACAGACAAAUCCUCCAGCACAGCCUACUUGGAGCUCAGCAGCCUGACAUCUGAAGACUCUGCGGUUUAUUACUGUGCCAGACACAGUGUUACAACCACAUCCUGA